AUUGAACGCUGGCGGCAUGCUUUACACAUGCAAGUCGAAUGGCAGCAUGGGGGCAAUCCUGGUGGCGAGUGGCGAACGGGUGAGUAAUACAUCGGAACGUGUCCUGUUGUGGGGGAUAAUCCACUGAAAGGUGAGCUAAUACCGCAUGAUCUGGAGACAGCAAAGCAGGGGAUCGCAAGACCUUGCGCGAUUGGAGCGGUCGAUGUCCGAUAAGCUAGUUGGCGGGGUAAAGGCCCACCAAGGCGACGAUUGGUAGCUGGUCUGAGAGGAUGAUCAGCCACACUGGGACUGAGACACGGCCCAGACUCCUACGGGAGGCAGCAGUGGGGAAUUUUGGACAAUGGGGGCAACCCUGAUCCAGCCAUGCCGCGUGAGUGAAGAAGGCCUUCGGGUUGUAAAGCUCUUUCGGUGGGAACGAAACGGUUACGACGAAUACUCGUGACUACUGACGGUACUCACAGAAGAAGCACCGGCUAACUACGUGCCAGCCGCCGCGGUAAAAC
rnacentral:rRNA from 1 species